CCUACGGGGGGCAGCAGUGAGGAAUAUUGGUCAAUGGCCGGAAGGCUGAACCAGCCAUGCCGCGUGAAGGUCAGUGCCCUAUGGGCGUUAAACUUCUUUUGUGCGGGAGCAAUAAUGGUCACGUGUGGCCAGACGAGAGUACCGUACGAAUAAGCAUCGGCUAACUCCGUGCCAGCAGCCGCGGUAAUACGGGGGAUGCAAGCGUUAUCCGGAUUUAUUGGGUUUAAAGGGUGCGUAGGCUGUGAGGUAAGUCAGCGGGGAAAUGCCCCCGCUCAACGGGGUGAAGUGCCAUUGAUACUGCCUUGCUGGAAUGCGGAUGCCGUGGGAGGAAUGUGUGGUGUAGCGGUGAAAUGCAUAGAGAUCACACAGAACACCGAUUGAGAAGGAAUCUCACGAAUCCGCGAUUGACGCUGAUGCACGAAAGCGUGGGUAUCAAACAGGAUUAGAUACCCUUGUAGUC
rnacentral:rRNA from 1 species